rnacentral:rRNA from 1 species
GGACUACCAGGGUAUCUAAUCCUGUUCGCUCCCCACGCUUUCGCUCCUCAGUGUCAGAAUCGGCCCAGAGUGCCGCCUUCGCUACGGGUGUUCCUCCUGAUAUCUGCGCAUUUCACCGCUCCACCAGGAAUUCCACACUCCCCUACCGACCUCUAGUCAUGGCAGUAUCGAAUGACCCCUCCAGGUUGAGCCUGGAGAUUUCACAUCCGACUUACCAAACCACCUACGAGCUCUUUACGCCCAAUAAAUCCGGACAACGCUUGCCCCCUACGUAUUACCGCGGCUGCUGGCAC